GUGCUGUAUUCCUGCCAUGAAAUAUAGUCAUUUUAGUGGUAUAUUUAUCACUGUCAUAAAAGCGCGAGGUUUUUCUAGGCACAAAACAAGGUUCAACUCAACUUUUUUUUUUAAAUGUCCUGUACCAAGUAAGGAAAAAUGGCAGUUGUUUUUUAUAGUUUGUUUCUAUGUGUGUUGCAUUGUCGUUUUUGUUUUGUUGCUCUUCAAUGUAUCUGUUGUUUCGUUGUUUUCCUCUUAGAGCUGACGUGUUUUCUUCGGUUUUAGUUUGUAAACCGGAUUUGUUUUUUUCUGAAUCGAUUGAUGACUUUUGAACAGCGGUAUACAACUGGUGUAUUAAUUUUAUCAAUCCACAAUUUUCUACGUACGAAAAUAU
rnacentral:lncRNA from 1 species